rnacentral:lncRNA from 1 species
UUUGUGAAUGCUAAGUUUGAUUAAGAGCUUUCCUUUUUGAAUCAGGGCGAAGGCGAAGUCAAAGAGCAAAGGAGGCUGGAAAAAUAAAGCAGGACGUUUCCAGUACAGCCCGGCCAGUGGGGAGCUGCGGAUAUCGGUCAAGGUUUAGUAUUAUUUCUAUAUGUGCACUGACCCCAUACAAAAAAGGUGUGAAGCUGGUAGAGAAAAAACACCAUCAGUGAAUCAAUAUAGGUGAACUAACCUCGACUCCAGAAGUAAAAGUGCGUUGGAGAGAAGCAAUAUUGCAUUAUUUUUGUAUUGUCUGCAACACCUGAGCCUUGAGUAUCAUUUGGAAAUAUAAAAAUGUCCUUUUAUCUACAUUGUUAAACUGAAAGGAUUCCCUGUCUGUUUGCUCUUUGUCAUCAAAGGCUGUUGUCAAUGAUUGCAUGGUAUUUUGUAUUGUCUUCUGUUAAACUCCAAAAUGAUUGUUUAGAUUGAGUGCCUGCAGUGAGCACUAGGUAAGUCAGAGUACGUUGUAUACCCGUCCCAGACCUGGGAGGUGGAUGCAUCACUCAAUAACAUCUUUUCUCUUUAUUACAAUCAGAAGAAACUUUAGUGCUUUUGUUCCACAAUAAUGAAAAUUACUCUUUUUUUAACCUGUCUGGAAAGCCACUUGGUGGUGUGAAAUUUGGUCUAGAGAAACUGGAAUGUUUAAGCUUAUCCUUACGUAGGAGUGAGUCAGAGAUGUUGCCUGCAGCUGACCCUUCCAACGAGUAAAUAGCAUAGAAGAGUUCGCUGUAGUGUCCAUCCCUCAGAGACAAAACUCUCUCUAGUUAUUCAUUAUUUUCUUCAUGGUAAAACUUGAGAGACUACCAAAACCUGGGCCAUGUUAUACCAAGAGCU